AGCCUAAACCUUUAGUAAUAAAGGCAUGGUGAAGGAAAUCUCGUCAGAGUCAAAAAACCUAUCAUAUAGGGUUUACUCUGACGAGUCAUAUCUGGAAACAGGUAUGGAGGACGCAAGUUCUC
rnacentral:sRNA from 1 species